rnacentral:rRNA from 1 species
UGGGGAAUUUUGGACAAUGGGCGAAAGCCUGAUCCAGCCAUGCCGCGUGAGUGAAGAAGGCCUUCGGGUUGUAAAGCUCUUUCAGCUGGAAAGAAAACGCUCGGGAUAAUACCCCGGGCGGAUGACGGUACCAGCAGAAGAAGCACCGGCUAACUACGUGCCAGCAGCCGCGGUAAUACGUAGGGUGCGAGCGUUAAUCGGAAUUACUGGGCGUAAAGCGUGCGCAGGCGGUUAUGUAGGACAGAUGUGAAAUCCCCGGGCUCAACCUGGGAACUGCGUUUGUGACUGCAUAACUAGAGUACGGCAGAGGGAGGUGGAAUUCCACGUGUAGCAGUGAAAUGCGUAGAGAUGUGGAGGAACACCGAUGGCGAAGGCAGCCUCCUGGGCCAGUACUGACGCUCAUGCACGAAAGCGUGGGGAGCAAACA